rnacentral:lncRNA from 1 species
AAAAAAAAAAAAAAAAAAAAAAGUUUCUCACAGCCUUAAAUCCUUUAUUUUUUGAUUCAUUCUUCUCACUUCCUCACAUGUCAUUCCUGGUAACAGUGGCAUGAAAUGUUUUUAUUUGGAUUGUCUGCCCCCUCACACACACACAGUAUUUCAGCUAUUGUUUAUUCCUUGAUACUACCGUCCCUCCCUCUUUGGGACAGGAUCUCUACAUACCCAAGCUGAUCUUGAACUUGCUGUAUAGUCCAGACUGGCCUCACACUUGCUAUCCAAGUGCUUUGCUCUCUUGACUACUGUGACUACAGAGUUGUAACACCAUAGCUAGCUUAUUUUCUUUUAUGGAUAACUUUUAGAUAUUAAGUUAGUAAAUAUUUUGGAUUUUUUCACUUUAAAACUAACAUAAACAGUUGUGAACAUUUAUGUUUAAACUUUUGUGUAAGACAUUUGCUUUCAUUUCUCUUUGGUAUAUGCAUAGGAGAGGAAUUGCUGAGUUUAUAGGGUAGCUUUGACCAGCAUCUUGAAAACCUAUUAUUUUCCCAGUUUCUAGAGUAGCUGUAUCACUUUGUAGUUCUACCAGAAAUGUAACAUGUAUUUCAUCCUCAUUCUGUCUUCUCCUCAUCCUCACCAACGCCUGUUAGUCUUUCUAUCGUAGUCAUCCUAGUUCGUUUCAAGUGGCACAUCAUGUGUAUUUACGUCUCCUUAAUGACAGUGAGAGUCUGCAUGUACUUAGGAUAUUACCCACCUUUUCCUUCUUGAUGCUCUCUUCUCUCCUUUCCAGGAGUAUUUUAUAUAGCAUUUUUUACUUUUAUGUGUAUGUGUUUGGGUGUAUGUACGUGAUUGCAAGUAGAGACCGGAGGCUUUGGAUCACCCUGAAACUAGAGUUAUAAGUGAGCUACCUGAUGUAGAUACUGGGAAUUGGACUGCAAGAGCAGUACACACUUCACCGAGCCGUCUCUCUGGCUCUUAUUCUUUUCUUACUACUUCAGCUCCUAUAUGUCCACUGAUGCCCCUAUCUUUUGUCUCCAUCAAUUCAAGGCUUCAUAGCUUUGUUUCCAGGUAUUUGCUAGACAUGACAGUUCUUGUCCUACUAGCAAUUCAUUAUCUGAUUGCCUAUGUAGAUAAAUAGUUUUGCUGGCUGCCUAGUUAUACAACCUAGAAAUUUUAGUCACAAUUGAUACCAUACACCUUUUCUCACACUCAUAGCAAAGUCCUCUAAACUAUACUAUCUGCAUUUUUUAACUUGUCCCUUUCCUUUUUGUUACCCUUGCUACUUGGUUAAUUGGAGCCCUUGCUAUCUCUUGUUUAACCUCUUGCAACAGUUUUCAAAUAGUGUUUUUGCUUUAAUUCUUCCUAUUGUUGAAGUUCACAUCCUAUAUAUAUAUGUGUGUGUAUCAAAACUAAUUGUGGCCCUGAUGAAAUGCACUGCAGCAUGUUUAUAUGAAUUUGAUUAAUUACUUCUGUGUCUUUGUUCCUUCUCUCUGGAAUGUCUUUCCUAUUGUAUGCCUGUUGAACUUCUAUUCUUUAAUGACUAACUAAAUGUUAGAACAAGCCUUCCCUACUGCCCCCCAAAGCAGAAUUUUUGCUUUCUUUUUUAAUAUACUAAAGAUUGAGCCCAGAACCUCCAGCAUGCUAGGCAACUACUCUACCUUUUAGCUAUAGGCCAGCCUCCCUUUUAGUUUUUAUUUUGGAAUGAGGCCUUGCUAAGUUGCACAGGCUAGCCUUGAACUUUUCUUGUAGUCCAGCUUGAAUUUAAACUUGCAACCUAUGUCUCAGCGUCCUGAGUAGCU